AGGCACGACUUUUUCGCCAUAAAACUUGGCUGAUCUGCUCCGCGCCACUCAUCGAACAUCGGAGAGAUGCGCGCGGGCGGCGGCGCGCCUCCCCGACACGCACCACUCUCCCCGACCGCCUCCGCCACUGCCACGCUAGUACCCGCUUCUGUCGCCAUGCCCACGCCGCGCCUCGUACACCUCCGCCACCUCCUCUCAUUCCGCUCCGCCCUUCCCCGCCCGCUGGGUCCCAACCAAAGCCACCCGCUCCCCGGGUCGGUUCACCCGUCCCUUCUCCUCCCCCGUGCCAUGGCUGGUGUCGCAUACGCAGGUCUGGCGACGGGGUCGGCGGAAUACGAGGAGGUGCUCGGGUGCCUCGCGUCGCUGAUAACGCAGAAGGUGCGCGCGGACACCGGCAACCGCGGCAACCAGUGGGAGCUCAUGUCCAAGUACGUCCAGAUACUGGAACUGGAGGAAUCCAUCGCGCAGUUGAAAGUGGUUCACGUUGCUGGGACCAAAGGGAAGGGUUCAACAUGCACAUUUGCUGAGUCAAUCCUUCGAUCAUGUGGUUUCCACACUGGGCUCUUCACUUCACCACAUUUGAUGGAUGUCCGCGAGCGAUUUCGGCUUGAUGGGCUGGACAUUUCAGAAGAAAAGUUUAUUAGGUAUUUCUGGUGGUGCUGGAAGACACUGAAGGACAAGACUGGUGAUGGUGUACCGAUGCCGGCCUACUUUAGGUUCCUUGCACUGCUAGCAUUCAAGAUCUUUUCAGAUGAGCAGGUGGAUGUCGUAGUGCUCGAGGUUGGUUUGGGAGGGAAGUAUGAUGCAACAAAUGUGGUCAGAGCACCUGUAGUUUGUGGAAUAACAUCCCUUGGGUAUGAUCAUAUGGAAAUUCUUGGAAACACACUUGGAGAAAUUACUAGAGAGAAGGCUGGGAUACUGAAGAAAGGAGUUCCAGCGUAUACAGUUCCACAGCCAGAAGAGGCAAUGUCUGUACUGAUGAAGCGAGCUACUGAAUUGGGUGUUUCUCUUCAAGUUGUCCACCCUUUGGACCCACAGAAAUUAGAGGAUCAACCUCUUGGACUCCAUGGUGAGCACCAAUACAUGAAUGCAGGUCUUGCAAUUGCAUUGGCUAAUACCUGGCUUGAGAGGCAAGGCCAUUUGAACAGAUUACAUGUCAAACAUUCUGGUACCUUGCCAGAUCAGUUCAUCAAAGGGCUGUCGAGUGCUUGUCUGCAAGGUCGAGGACAGAUUAUUCCAAAUUCACAAGUGAACUCAGAAAAUGAUCGUGAUUCUUCAUUGGUUUUCUAUUUGGAUGGGGCACAUAGCUCAGAAAGCAUGGAAAUGUGUGCAAGAUGGUUUGCCCACGCUACAAAUAGUGAUGGAAUACAGCCAGGUCCUUCGGAGCAGCCUCACACUGAUAGGGAUUCCAGGAAGUUUCUCCUUUUCAAUUGCAUGACUGUAAGAGAUCCUCAGAGAUUGCUCCCACGUCUUCUAGAUACAUGUGCUCAAAAUGUUACUCACGUGUAAUGAUGUCUGGACUCUGGAGAAAAUACAAGAUUCCCCUAUAACCAAUGCUGAUAUGGAUAUCACGUAGAAAAUGUCCUUUGUUCCAAUGGGUGGCUGGUUUUCCAACGAGUGGCUAGUUAACCAGCUGGUUAAGUAGUGCAUGAACUAGCUGCCAUACUCUGCAUUUGCUUGCUCUUCAAGACCAAUUUACUUAUAUCAUGAGUUGCAUGAAUGCUCCUGUUGGUCUUAUAAUAUUAGUAACCAUUUUUCUCAGGUCUCCACUUUGAGCAUGCCUUAUUUGUGCCAAACCAAUCACAGUACAACAAGCUUGGAUCCCUUGCAUCCCCACCUUCAGAGCGUGAACAAAUUGAUUUGUCAUGGCAGUUGUCGCUUCAAAAGGUGUGGGGAAACCUGCCUCAUCACAAUAAAGGUCUAAAUGAUGUAAACUCUAGCGGAGCUACCUCGGUUUUUGAAUCUCUUCCAUUGGCAAUUAAAUGGCUAAGGGAAACUGCUCAACAAAAUCAAUCGAUUCAGUUUCAGGUCUUAGUUACCGGCUCGCUGCACCUUGUCGGCGAUGUCUUAAGAUUGCUCAAGAACAAUAAGUAACUUCAUUUGGAAUGGCACAUUGUUCAGAUUGAACUGGCUGCCUACGGACCACUAAGGCACUAACUGGAGCUUAUCGAAAUUUGUGAUUGGGAUAGCACAACAUACCAACUUGGUUACAAGGCUGGAAGAAAUUGAAAGACAUUUUUAUUUCAGUUCCAAUCAGCGGUAAAAUUGUUGUAUUUAAUCGUUUCUUUAAGUUCCUGGCGUUAUGUGCCAUCACAUCCUCACUCCAGAAGGAUGUAACCAAUUUUUAGAAUGUACAAUUAGUGGAUUCUCAGCGACACAUCUUUGUAUGAUUGGUGGACGGGUCUGCGUAGCCUUUGCAACAGACAAUCAAGAAGACGCUUUGACGGCCUGCUAAUUCAUUUUUGGUGGAAUUUAUGGCUGGAACGAAAUAACAGAAUUUUCCAAAGUCAGCAUAGAAGCGUUAAUCAAGUGGCCCUUGCAGUCAUCAGAUAUUGCUAGUAGCUGAGGUCUUGUUGAUCUGGUCUAGUGGGUUUUUGUUCUUCUCCUUUUAUUUUUUCUUUUUUACCCUCUCCCCUCCGGUUCUCUGGUUUUGUAUCUUCCAUUUCUUUGCUCUCUAAUCUAAUAUAUUUCGGAGUGGCAAGUCUUUUGCCCCUUCCUUUCAAAAAAAAAAAAACAAUUAGUGGAUUAUAUUAUAUCAAUCAUAUUAUUUAUU